rnacentral:rRNA from 1 species
UAGCAUAAUCAUUAGUUUUUUAAUUGGAAACUGGAAUGAAAGGUUAAAUAAAAAAUAAUCUUUAUAAUUUUAUUAAUUGAAUUUGUUUUUUUAGUAAAAAAACUAAAAUAUUUAAAAAAGACGAUAAGACCCUAUAAAUCUUUAUAAUAUUUUAUAAAAUAAAUUUUAUAGAAAAAUUAAUUUAUUUUAUAUUUUUUAUUUAAUUGGGGUGAUUUAAAAAUUUAUUAAACUUUUUAUAAUAAAAAUUAAACAAUGAUUUUUGUAUUUUUUUUUGAUCCUUAAAUUUAAGAUUAAAAAAAUAAGUUACUUUAGGGAUAACAGCGUAAUUUUUUUAAAGAGUUCAAAUCGAUAAAAAAGAUUGCGACCUCGAUGUUGAAUUAAGAUAAAAAUUAGGUGUAGAAGUUUAAUUUUU